ACCACUAUGUUGUGAGAAAGUGCUGGGCUAGCUGACUCGGAUCAUCUCCUAGAGUUUAGGAGAAAUAACAAUCACAAAGUUUGAAUUUGCAAAACCUUUAGGCUUUGCUGGCAGGAGAGAAAAUACCACUUUUGGAUCAUAAAAUGGAUAUGGAAUACAUGGGCUCAGGUAAACUGGGCCAAAUAUUGAAGCAGAUUUGGAGACAAAACCAGAUGCUAAAGCAGGCACUCUUGGGUGAUGACCUUUGUGAGGGGGCUGGUGGGGCCACUUGGAUGGCCACUGUGGUCUUUCUGGGUCAGGAACUCAGCAGUGCCCUUCACCAGCUGCUGGAGCACACCUCAGGCACCCUGCGUUCCACCUGCCAGCAGCUGCAUGUGCUGCUUGACAAAGAGAAUCAAUGUGUCUCGAGAAAAGAAAUCAUUACUUUCAUAGACUGCCUCAUAAAAAUAACUGAACAUUUGGGGAGCACUGCUGCACUUCUAAAGAAAGAAGAAAAGGAGAUUUGUAAUUUAUGCGGCAUGCAUGAUGAAUGUACUCCACAGCAGACAAUGUCCUCCAUUCAAGAUACCAAAGCAGCAGACAUUGCUGCAAGAGGGGAACUAAAUGUCAUAGAAACAGCUACUGUUUCUCCCACAAAUGGAGAGGAAAGUCAUUACACAAACCAGGUCCAGUUAGAAAAAAAUAAAACACAUAUGAGUUCAGCAUUAGUGGAAAAAGAAAACAAUACAUCACUGAAUGGACGUGUACUGGGGCAAGAAGAGUCACAGAAUAAAAUGUUCCCAGAUAAUGCAGAAAAUGAAGAUGAUAAACAAAUAGAACACAUGACUGUUGAGAACAUAAAUGGCAACAGGGAAGAGACUCAUGGCAUAAUUCAGACAACAGAGACAGAAAUUCAAGAGACUUCAGAAAGCCCAAGAGAAGAGAUGACCACAUCCUCAAUAAUAUGUGAUAUCUCCAAGAAAUAUAUAAAUAGUACUCUUCCCAAUGAUUCAGAGAAUAUAAAGCACAAGAAUAACAUAAUGGAAAAGGAGUAUCUUGAUGUGCUGAGUGAUGUUACUGGCCCCCAAGUGUCUUGUUAUAUUACAGCACCAUCAUAUGUUCUACAACAACUAGAAUGCCGGAUAAUAAAUCACAUGAGUUCUUUAAUAGUGGGUGAUAAUGAAGAGUUAGUUAGCAACGUCAUAACUAUUGAAUGCUCAGAUAAGGAAAAGAGAGUUCCAUUUCCAAUAGGCAUUGCAAUUCCAUUUACUGCACGUUACAGAGGAAAUUACAGAGAUAUCAUGGUGAAAGUGUGUGACAUAAACCUUCAAUCAAGUUACCUAAACCCAAAUUCACUAGAAGGAAUGAAGGGAGGUUAUAAGAGUCGUUCACAGUAACAAAGAAAGGCCUCGCUCUUAAGUCAAGCAUGGAUUCCCGAAUAUCCUUAAAUUACCCUCCAGGAGUUUUUACCUCUCCAGUGCUGGUGCAGUUAAAGAUCCAACCAGUUGACCCAGCUCUGGUGGCACAUUUAAAAGCACAGCAAGAUACUUUCUACUCAGUCCAAUCCACAAGCCCUCUGAUUCACAUUCAGCACCCAUCAACUUAUCCUUUUCAGAAGCCAGUCACUUUGUUUUUACCUUGUUCUCCAUACCUUGAUAAAAACAACCUUGGUUCUGAGAUAGAUCAUAAAAGAAGAGCAAGUGCCACAAUAAAUAGGAUUACACCUUCGUAUUUCAACCGGACAAAAAUUGCCUCCAUAAGAAAACCUAGGAAAAAUGCCAGUGAAUGUUUGAAAUUACUGGGAUUCAGAAGCCAAGACAGUGGUUGGUGUGGGCUUGAUGAUGUUGUGAAAACCAUACAGAGCGGCUUGGUAUCAGUUGAAUUGUAUGAACAUUUGGAGAGGUUUAUUGUACUUCACCUCUCUUCCACCAUGGACAAUAGUCAUUUGGUUACUUUUGUGAAAUCUUUAGAGGAAGCCAUGCUCAGCACCACUGCCUGCAUAGUACUGUCUCACCAGAAGGACAAUCCACAUAGAAUAGCUGUUUUAGUGGUGCCUUCCAAAGAUUUAAGCCAGGUGCUUAAGGACCUGCACUUGGAAGGGUUUGGAGGACCUCCAGAGCCAUCUCGUCAUUUCCAAGUUCGAGAAGGAGAACAACUUCUUUUAAGAUUUACUGGAAACAUAUUUGCUUCAAGCAACGGGAAGGAUUAUGGAAAAGACUACACACUUAUUUUUCACUUGCAAAGAAAACCUAGGCUGGAACUCCAAAUCAAAGAAGUGGACGAAUUUGGAAACUAUAGUUGCCCUCAUUACAAAGGCACCAUUGUCGUUUAUAAAGUACCUAAAGGAAAGAUAGUCCCCAACUUGAAUCAAUCUCUCGUAAUUAAUGAAAACCAUUCUCAGUUGCCAAUUUGCAAAUUACCAUUGAAAUUGCCAAAGGCUAAGGCAUCGAUGUGGAUCAGCAUGAAGAUGUGGAGUGGAGAGGGGUACCUAAGGGCUGCUCUCCAGGCAGCUCAGCUGGCACAUUGCUUCCAGAAAGCCUCACGUUGCUUUGCUGCCAUAAGAGGAUGAAAGGGAGACAAGCCAGUGGUGGUUGGAAUUCUCUGGCAAGAGGCGAGUCUCACUCUGUCACCCAGGCUGGAGUGCAGUGGCACGAUCUCAGCUCACUGCAACCUUGGCCUCCCGGGAUCAAGCGAUUCUCUUGCCUUCAGACUCCUGAGUAGCUGGGACUACAGAAGCCCUUUGGGAUAACUUGCUCCAUUGGCUGGCUGAGGAGCUCUCAGAAGAAAAUGCUGAGUCUCUUUCCUCAACUCUCCCUCUGCGCCGUAGCACCAUUCAGCUCAUCAAACUCAAGAACCCUGAUGAUCUCACAGAACAGAUCCACGAGUUUCUUUGCUUCUGGAAAAAAUCGCUUCCAACUUUCACCGACAAACUUCGCCUCCUGGCUCGACAUCUCCGCAAGAUUGGCAGGAGUGAUCUUGCAGAAGAGCUCAAAUUCAAGUGGGAAAAUAAAGUGUUCACUGAACCACAGCAGUGUUUUGAUGUAGCCCCUGAGUAAAAGCCUGAUCUCUCUUCCUUUACCCCUAGGAAAAGGCACACGGUGGGUUUUUGUUUCUGUCAACAUUUUCCUGGAAGUUUCCGAAUGAUAUUAUUUGAAGUCAGUCUAUUUAAUGAUGUGCUAUUUAAUGAUGUGAGACAAAGGGAGAAGCACGGAUCAGAUAAUAGAAAGCAUUCCUGGGUGUGAGCGCUCCUCUCUGGUUGAGUGAUUAUGUUUUGCAACCAUGACUGUCUUGAGUUUGGCCUCACUUAAUAGCAUUUGCAAUUGAGUUUGACUUGUUCACAUUUUAAAAGCUAAGUGUGAAGAAAAGAUCUGAUAUAUGUAAUUACUUAUUAAUUGGUAUCUACAUAAAAUUAAACUAGUUUUCUGUGACUUCAAGUGUGAGCCCAAAAAUAUCUGAGACAGUUCUCAAUCAAUUUAGAAAGAUUAUUUUGCCAAGGUUAAGGACAGGCCCGUAACAGCCUCAGAAGAUCCUGAUGACAUAUGCCCAAGGUGUUCGGGGUAGAGCUUGCUUUUAUGCAUUUUAGGGAGUUAUAAUAUAUCAAUCAAUACAUGUAAGGUGUACAUUGGCUCAAUCUGGAAAGGUAGGACAACUCAAAGCAGGGGCUUCCAGAUCACAGGUAGAUUUAAAGAUUCUUGAUUGGCAUUGAUUGAACAGUUAUUAUCUAAAGACCUGGAAUCAAUAGGAAGGAAAUGCCUGGGCUAUGAUAAGAAGUUAUGGAGACCAAAGUUUUAUAAUGCAGAUGAAGCCUCCAGGUAGCAGACUUUAGAGGGAAUAGAUUGUAAAUAUUUCUGAUCAGUCCUAAGGUCUGUUGAAAUUUAUGCUGGCCAGCUUUUCCUGAAUUCCAAAAGAGAGGAGGGUAUUAUGGAGUCAUGUCCAACCUCCCCUUCCCAGCAUGGCCUAAACUAGUUUUUCAGGAUAACUUUGAAAUGCCCUUGGCUGAGAGAAGGGGCUUGUUCAGAUAGUUGGGAGACUUAGAAUUUUAUUUUUGGUUGACUCAGGCAACCAAUUCAAGUUACAUAGAUACCAUAGAGCCUACAGUAAACAAUACAAAAUAAAUUGGACUGAAAGACUUGAUGUCGGUGGUAGUAACUCACUUUAAAAAAACCUUUCUAAGCUCGAAAUAAAUUAAAAAUAGAAUAACACUUCAGCCAUUUACUGGCACAGACUUUUCCUUUAUAAAAAUAUAACUUGGAAGAGGGAAAAUUCCAUAUUUUGUUAUUAGCGAAAUGAGGCAGUGCAGAGAAAAUAAGUUAUCAGUGAAAGAAUUCAAGGCCUAUUUCUUCUACUUAGGAAGAAAACCUGCUUUAAAAUUAGUUAACAGAAGCCUUAUUACAUAAGCCCUAGAUAUACAUCAUUAAAAAUAAACAAAACAUCUGUAAAUAGAACAUUAAAAUGAAAGAAAAAAUUAAAACUUAUCUAAACCCCUCUUUCUAUUGAUAAUCGCUAUUAAUGUCUAGUAUAAGCUUUGAGUUUUUGGAAAGCCUAACGCCCUUUAGCUCUCUGAAGCAGUUGGAUAUAAAUGGGACAUUGAACUAGUUUCACUGACUCAUUAAUGCAAAAACCAUUAGGUCGUUGGCUUGAAAACAUCGGUAGCAAUUAGUUUCAGUUAUUGAAUACCUAGGAAUUAAUUGAGUUAUAUUACAAAAUUAAAUGUUUUAAUCUCUUUCAAAUUUAAACGCAAGACUUCCUUCUACAAAUUAACCAGGGAUUUAGAUAUCUAUUCAGGUAUAUAUCAAAAAAGGCGAUUCCCAUUUUCAAACAUAGUCCCAUAAAGGAAUAUUUUAUUAGUCAAGAUUUUUUACAUGCUGCCAAAAAGGUACAAUAUGUAUUUUCAUGUAUUCUUGGGGCAAAGAAAACAGACUAAAAUGUUCAUUGUUUUCCUGAUUACAAUCGAACAAAAAAGUAAAGAAAAUGAAAGUUGCUUCUUAUCCUGUCAUUAGAGAUUACUAUUAUUAACAUUUUUGGCAUAAUUUCUUCUAGUUUUUCUUUUUUUCUGGAAGAAAAUAUUUCUAUUUCUAUCGGUAUAGAUGUAUCUAAGGACACUCACAUAUGUGUUCACCUGCAUGCACACAUGCUAAUAUGUAUGUCCCAUCACACACAUCCCUGCCACACACCUCUCACAAAUGCACCCUCAAACACACAGGCCUACCCUUUAUCAGCACUGUUUCGGGUCCACUUGUGCACCUCACAUAUGCUGUCACAAACACACCCCUCCUGCACACCCAGCUCCCAACUCUCUCACAGAAACACACCUAUUCACAUACAUAAAUACAUGUGCACACACACACACCCCUCACACACAUAUAGUUUCAGAUCCACUUGUACACUCUCACAAAUGUCCUCGUUCACAUAUACCCCACCUCCACAUUUCAUAUACGCAUACACUCAUUAAUAUGCCUCCCCCACAGACACAUGCACACACACACACGACAUCUCACUUUACCGUUACCACUUCACCUGCACAUAUACAAUCUCAUUAAAACACUCCCUGUCAUAACCCUCCCGUCUUUCUUUCUCUCUCUCACACAUACACUCACAUACAUUCACUCACAGCCACAUAUACACACCUCUUCACAACACAGAUACAUUUUUCCCCCAGAAUUAAAACAAAUACUGCACAUAUUGUUGUUACAGUAAAGCAAUAAAAAGGUACAUAGAGAAAACAAUUGAUCAUCCCUGCAGCAUCUCCUCUCUUAAGAUAAUCCAGGAAAUCAAUCCCAUGUGUAAUCUGUGCCACUUGGAUUGAGACCUGCCCCUGAACACCCUCAGUAUUGAUAGACACACCCAUACCUUUGCAUACCCAUUUCUCUGUCUGGUGAGCCAACCUGUAUGGACCACAUCAGAGAUGCCUUGUUCGCUUUUGCUAAUGCAAAGCCCCAGCAGAAGACAGACAGGAGGAAGGAGAGUGAAUUAUACCAUUCCCCUUUUCCUCCCUGUGCUCAUCUUGGCCUGGCUGUGUCCCUGGCCUGCAACCACUGCUCCUCUCAAGAAGGCCACCUCUAGCCAACUCUCUCCUGUGCUUUGGUAACUGGUCUUCUUCUUGUCUCUUCAAGUCUAAGGGUGGUAAUAGCUCUCUUGUUGUUUGGAGUAACUGUGUUAUUCCUUGCAGUUCCCCUACAUCCUGCUCUCCCCUUUUUAAAAUAAAGCCUCCUUUUAUUAUUCUAAUUUGAGUAUAUCACUAUAUUUCUCAUUGAGACCCUGAUUGAUACCUCUCUGCACACCUUUCUUAUGCUCCUAGCAACGUAUACAUGUAUUUUAUUUCCCAGAAUGGGAGUCAUAUAUUAUAUAUACAGUUUUUAAAAUUACUGUCUUAUUAAAUUAUGAGUUUUUAAUGUCUUCGAAUGUUUUAAUGACUGUAUAAUAUCCUAUUUCAUAACCAUAGCACAAUUAAUUUUAGUAUAAUCAAUUUCUGAAAUUGGUUAAAAUGAAAUUUUGCAGUAUAUAUUCUUUUAUGUUUGACUUUUUAUUCAACUUUAUGUUGCUGAAAUUCAUCCAUUUUGCUGUGUGUGGCAAUGGUUCAUUCUCAUUAAUGUAUAAUAUUCUAUUAUAUGCAUAUAUUAAAAUUUUCAUAUCAAUUAGACUGUAGUCCCAAUAUAUACCUAAGAGCAAAGUGAUAGUUUACCAUAGUUCAUUUAACCGUGUUCUAUAUUCAGGACCAUUUAGCAAUUAAACUUUGAACAUCA